UACGGAGGGUGCAAACGUUGCUCGGAAUCAUUGGGCGUAAAGAGCUCGUAGGCGGCUUGUCGCGUCGUCCGUGAAAACCCACAGCUCAACUGUGGGCUUGCGGUCGAUACGGGCAGGCUGGAGUUCGGUAGGGGAGACUGGAAUUCCUGGUGUAGCGGUGAAAUGCGCAGAUAUCAGGAGGAACACCUGUGGUGUAGACAGCUUACUGGACCACUUCUGACGCUGAGACACGAAAGCGUGGGGAUCAAACAGG
rnacentral:rRNA from 1 species